rnacentral:misc_RNA from 1 species
GAUGAAGAACGUAGCGAAAUGCGAUAAGUAAUGUGAAUUGCAGAAUUCAGUGAAUCAUCGAGUCUUUGAACGCACAUUGCGCCCCCUGGUAUUCCGGGGGGCAUGCCUGUCCGAGCGUCAUUGCUGCCCUCAAGCACGGCUUGUGUGUUGGGCCUCCGUCCUCCUCCCGGGGGACGGGCCCGAAAGGCAGCGGCGGCACCGCGUCCGGUCCUCGAGCGUAUGGGGCUUCGUCACCCGCUCUUGUAGGCCCGGCCGGCGCUUGCCGACACAUCAAUCUUUUUCCAGGUUGACCUCGGAUCAGGUAGGGAUACCCGCUGAACUUAAGCAUAUCAAUAAGCGGAGGA